UCUGCCUCCCAGAGAGAUGGCAGGUGUGCUUUUUCUGUCAUAUGAGUGUCAAUGGGAGGCAGAGAAGAGAAAGGCUAUGUCUCUGCUGAGCUCACUGUCCUGAUCUAUGAACAUCUGAAUAAUUAGUAACCUAACAUC